rnacentral:tRNA from 1 species
AAAAAUUUUAUUAUUUUAUUAAAUAAUCUCCUCAUUGUAAAUGAAUUAUUUUUAUAUUAUUAAACUAAAAUUUU